rnacentral:rRNA from 1 species
GAUGAACGCUGGCGGCGUGCCUAAUACAUGCAAGUCGAGCGAACAGAUGAGGCGCUUGCUCCUCUGACGUUAGCGGCGGACGGGUGAGUCACACGUGGCUAACCUACCUAUAAGACUGGGAUAACUUCGGGAAACCGGAGCUCAUACCGGAUCAUAUAUUGAACCGCAUGGUUCAAUAGUGAAAGACGGUUUUGCUGUCACUUAUAGAUGGAUCCGCGCCGCAUUAGCUAGUUGGUAAGGUAACGGCUUACCAAGGCAACGAUGCGUAGCCGACCUGAGAGGGUGAUCGGCCACACUGGAACUGAGACACGGUCCAGACUCCUACGGGAGGCAGCAGUAGGGAAUCUUCCGCAAUGGGCGAAAGCCUGACGGAGCAACGCCGCGUGAGUGAUGAAGGUCUUCGGAUCGUAAAACUCUGUUAUUAGGGAAGAACAAAUGUGUAAGUAACUAUGCACGUCUUGACGGUACCUAAUCAGAAAGCCACGGCUAACUACGUG